AUAUUGCACAAAGUCCUUCUAAAAAUUUGAUACAACACAACAAGGAUGAAUAUUUGAUGGAAAAUGUAGAACAGGAAUAUAUCGCAGAAAAUUCUUCUAAAAGUUUGAUACAACACACCAAUGAAGAAGAUUUGUUAGAAAAUAUACAACAAGAAUAUGUAGCAGAGAAUACUUAUAAAAAUUU